UACGUAGGGUGCAAGCGUUUGUCCGGAAUUAUUGGGCGUAAAGAGCUCGUAGGCGGUCUGUCGCGUCGGCUGUGAAAACUUGGGGCUCAACCCCAAGCCUGCAGUCGAUACGGGCAGACUAGAGUGCGGUAGGGGAGACUGGAAUUCCUGGUGUAGCGGUGAAAUGCGCAGAUAUCAGGAGGAACACCAGUGCGAAGGCGG
rnacentral:rRNA from 1 species